GCGAAGGUGGCGGAAUUGGUAGAAGCGCUAGCUUCAGGUGUUAGUGUCCUUACGGACGUGGGGGUUCAAGUCCCCCCCCUCGCACCA
rnacentral:tRNA from 1 species